AAGAAAAUUGAUCCUUGACUCCUACUUCAAACUCUACAUACAAAUUAUUUUGAGAUGAAUCAUUGACAUAACAUUAAAGAUAAAACUAUAAUGCUUUUAUAAAAGAAAUUGCCUUAUAUUUUCACAAACAUAAGGUAGACAAAAAAUUUUCACACAAGACAGAUAGAAUGGACCAGAGGAAAUUUUGAAAAAUGAGAAUUCAUCAAAAUUCAAAAUUGCUCAUCAAAAGACAUUACUAGUAAAAUGAAUAAGCUAGCCACAGACAGGGUAAAAGAAUUCAUAAUACCUACGUAUUAUGAAUUUAGGAAAUUUCAUAAUAUGAAUUUAGGAUUUCAUAAUUUCAUAAUUCAUAAUUUCAUAAUUUAUGAAUUCAUAACAUGAAUUCAUAAUUUCAUAAUUAUGAAUUUAGGAUUGUAUUUAGGAAAUUUCUAAAACUUGUACAGCCCAGUAAUAAAACAGGCAACCAAAUAAAAACAAUAGGGAAAGACACUUCAUAAAAGAUAUAAAAAUAACCAACAUGUACAUAAAAUGUUUUCAACAUUAUCAGUUGCCAGGAAAAUGCAAAUUAAAACUACAAUAAACUAUUCCUGCCUAUCUGCCACAAUGGCUAAAAUUAAAAGAUUUGUCUACCAAGUAUUAGUUAUGCUGUAAAACAACUGAUACUCUAAUAUGUUGCAGGUAGAAGUGAAAAAUGGUAUCAUCACUUUGGAAAAGUAUUUGGUAAUUUUUUAUAAAGGUAAACAUAUACAACCCAGUGACCCAACCAUUCUACUUCCAGCUAUUUACCCAAAAGAAAUGAAAACUUAUUUCUACAAAAGUUUGUACAGAAAUGUUUAUAGCAACUUUAUUUAUAACAGGCCAAACUGGAAAUAGCCAAAAUGCCUAUGAACAAGCAAAAGGUUAGCAAACUGAUACACUCAUGCCAUAAGAAGAAACAAAUCACUGACACAGGCAACAUGGAUGAAUCUCAAAAUCGUGUUGAAAGAAAAAAGCCCAACAAAAAGUAUGAUUCCAUUUACCUAAAGUUUCAGAAGAGGCAAAACAAAAAUCUGAUGAUAGAAAUCAGAAUAGUAGUUGCGUGGGGUGAUUGGAAGGGAGAAUGGAGAGUGAUGGGAAACGAAUCACAAGGGAGCUUGCUGGGGUGAUGGAAAUGAUCUAAAUCUUAAUUGAGUUGUUAUUAUAUGGGUACACAUUCAUCAGUCUUUGAACUCUAUCAUUAGUAUCUGUCAGGCCUCUGAGCCCAAGCCAAGCCAUCGCAUCCCCUGUGACUUGCACCUAUAUGCCCAGAUGGCCUGAAGUAACUGAAGAAUCACAAAAGAAGUGAAAAUGCCCUGCCCCGCCUUAACUGAUGACAUUCCACCUCAAAAGAAAUGUAAAUGGCUGGUCCUUGCCUUAAGUGAUGACAUUACCUUGUGAAAGUCUUUUUCCUGGCUCAUGAUGGCUCAAAAACACCCCCACUGAGCACCUUGCGACCCCCAACCCUGCCCACCAGAGAACAAAUCCCCUUUGACUGUAAUUUUUCUUUAUCUGCCCAAAUCUUAUAAAACGGCCCCACCCCUAUCUCCCUUCGAUGACUGUCUUUUCGGACUCAGCCUGCCUGCCCCCCUGUGAAAUAAACAGCCAUGUUGCUCACACAAAGCCUGUUUGGUGGUCUCUUCACACGGAUGCGAGUGAAAUUUGGUGCUGUGACUCAGAUCAGGGGACCUCCCUUGGGAGAUCAAUCCCCUGUCCUCCUGUUCUUUGCUCGGUAAGAAAGAUCCACUUAUGACCUCAGGUCCUCAGACCGACCAGCCCAAGAAACAUCUCACCAAUUUCAAAUCCGGUAAGCGGCCUCUUUUUACUCUCUUCUCCAACCUCCUUCACUAUCCCUCAACCUCUUUCUCCUUUCAAUCUCGGCACCACACUUCAAUCUCUCCCUUCUUUUAAUUUCAAUUCCUUUCAUUUUCUGGUAGAGACAAAGGAGACACAUUUUAUCCGUAGACCCAAAACUCCGGCGCUGGUGAUAGACUGGGAAGGCAGCCUUCCCUUGGUGUUUAAUCAUUGCAGGGACACCUCUCUGAUUAUUCACCCACGUUUCAGAGGUGUCAGACCACGCAGGGACGCCUGCCUUGGUCCUUCACCCUUAGCAGCAAGUCCCACUUUUCUGGGGGAGGGGCAAGUACCCCAACCCCUUCUCUCUGUGUCUCUACCCCUUUUCCACCUUUCUGGGGGGCAAGAAACCCCCAACCCCUUCUCCUUCACCCUUAGCGGCAAGUCCUGCUUUUCUAGGGGAGGGGCAAGUACCCUAACCCCAUAUAUCUCUGUGCCCCGAUCCCUUAUUUCUGUGCCCCAACCUCUUAUAUCUCUGUGCCCCAAUCCCUUAUUUCUAUGCCCCGACCUCGUAUCUCUGUGCCCCGACCCCUUUCCCACUUUUCUGGAGGGUAAGAACCCCCAAACCCCUUCCCUCCAUGUCUCUACUCUCUCUUUUCUCUGGGCUUGCCUCCUUCACUAUGGGCAACCUUCCACCCUCCAUUCCUCCUUCUCCCUUUGCCUGUGUUCUUAAGAACUUAAAACCUCUUCAACUCUCAAAUGACCUAAAAUCUAAGCAUCUUAUUUUCUUCUGCAAUGCCACUUGACCCCAAUACAAACUCGACAGUAGUUCCAAAUAGCCAGAAAAUGGCACUUUCAAUUUUUCCAUCCUGCAAGAUCUAAAUAAUUCUUGUCAUAAAAUGGGCAAAUGGUCUGAGGUGCCUGACGUCUGCCCUGCUCUUGUUUACACUGCCAGUUUACACUGUUUCUCCAAGUCAUCACAGCUGAUAUCUCCUGGUGCUAUCCCCAAACUGCCACUCUAAACUCUUGAAGUAAAUAAAUAAUCUUUGCUGGCAGGACUAUGCUGAAUCUCCUUAGGCACUCUCUAAUCAGAUGUCCUGGGUGCUCCCAAGUCUUAGACCUUUUAUACCUGUUUUUCUCCUUCUCUUAUUCCAUUUAGUUUUUCAAUUCAUACAAAACCAUAUCCAGGCCAUCACCAAUAAUUCUACAUGACAAAUGUUUCUUCUAACAACCCCACAACAUCACCCCUUACCACAAAAUCUUCCUUCAGUUUAAUCUCUCCCACUCUAGGUUCCCACGCUGCCCCAAUCCCGCUCGAAGCAGCCCUGAGAAAUGUUGCCCAUUCUCUCUCUCCAUACUACCCCCCAAAAAUUUUUGCUGCCCCCACA
rnacentral:lncRNA from 1 species